UUGCCCUCCCUGUCAAUGACCAGCUGGAAUGCAUGGAGCUUUGCUUGGAUGCAGAUAAGGAGACAGCCUAGAUCUUAUGGGUCAGGAUUAAAGCAAGAGUAGGGACAGGUGACAUUAUUGUGGGGAAGCACUACAGGCUCCCUGUCAGGAUUGCUAAAUGGAUAAGGCACUCUAUAGAGUGAUAAGAGCAGCCUUGUGUUCAUAUGGUCCUUUUAGUCCACAUGGGGGACUUGCACUACCCAAAUUAUCUGUUGGAGAUGCAAUACUGCAGGGCUUAAGCGAUCCAGGAUGUUUCUGGAAUGCGCUUUAUUAUCCAGUAAAGGAUAAAUUCCUUCACCAGAUGAUAAAGAAACCAAUGAGGAGAGGUGCUGGAACACAAGGAGAGACUGGUGGGCAAUGCAAAGCUCGAGGACAGUUCAAGAGCUGCAGUGACCAUGGAGUGGUGCUAAUAUCCUUAGGGCAACAAGGAGGGCUCACAGUAGACUCAUUAUGCUGGACUUAGGGGUGUAGACUGUGGCCUCUUCAAGACUCUGCUUAGUACAGUACCAUGUGAUAGAACCCUGGAGGGAAGAAGAGCACACUAAAGGCAUUUAAUAUUUAAGGACCACUUCCUCCAAGCUCAUGAUAAAGAAAUCAAGCAAAGCCACCAGGAGGCCUGCAUGGAUAUGUAAGGAGCUCCUAGACAAACUCUCAAAAGGAAAGCCUACAGGGGUGGAAGCAAGGACAGCAGCAGAGAAUAUUUCUGAACAUCUGGCUUCCUCUCAACUGGCAAAUAAUUUACUACUAAGACCCUGAGCUUCCCCCAGUAGAAGAAACUACAAGUCAAAUAUCUUCUCAAAUGCUGGAUGCAUAUAUUUGGGGCAAAAGACAGACUCUGGCAAGAUGUUCAUUGUAAAUAUUAAAAAAAAAUUUGAGGCAACCUAACUGCUUGUGGAAGAUGAGUGGGCCCUUGGACUUCCCCAGGAUGAUUCUGUCAAGUAUGGGUAACCGAAGAGCUCUUCAGAUCUUAGGAUAAUUACAGUGUUCAGAGGUUAAAAAUCUAUUUCCUGUAGGAUUUUUGUGGGAAAUAAAAAGAAUGUAUUGGUGGUACUGUAGAGACAGAAACCUCAAGAAUGUCUGGCUAGUACCAUCUAAGAUGUGCAAUCAAGUUCUAAACACACUAAUUUGGAUGUAAGAAGCAGUACAGCUAAAAUGGUUCCUAAAUUAAAUUUGUUCUUUCAAGAAACAAGAGAAGAAGGUACUUUCCAAGUACAAGAGAGGAAGGCUGCCUGUCUCUGUGGCCUUUAACUCAUCACGAGACUGCUCUGUUGUGACAAUAGAUUAACCCCUUAAAUACAGGUUUUGCCUCUGAUCUUUUCCUGCUACAUUUGUGCAAUAUGUUUUUGAGGUUGUAAGGAAUAUAUUUAAUUGGGAGCCUUGU